CAUUUUCCUGAGCUCACUGAGCACCUUAAUGUCUGUCAUUUUAAAUUUUUUCACAGAUAAUCUAUAUACUUUCACUUCUUUAUGACCAGUUUCUAGAGUUUUAGUUUGGAAUGGACCACGUUUUAUUGUUUUACCAUGCGUCUUGUAACUUUUUGUUGAAAUUCAUUCAUUUGAAAAACAACCACUUCUCCCCAUCUUUGAAGAUAGACAUCAUACAGGGAGAAGACAGAAACUGGAAGUUCCUUCUCAAUUGGACUUUACUGAGCUAGCAGGUAUCAUUGAUGAAGUCAUGUUUUCCAAAACUCUUUGUGUGAAUUCUGUGCACUACUGGAGCAAGCACGAUGGC